GGGGGGUUGGCGCAAUUGGCAGCGCGUGCGUCUCCAAAGCGCGAGGUUGGGUGUUCGAGUCACUCAUUCCCCA